ensembl:ncRNA asRNA:CR45620 antisense RNA:CR45620
AGAGAGAAAGAUACACACUUUUAUCCACGAAAUAAUGGUUUUUUUUAGUGCUAAAGCUACAUAUGAAAUUGGUCUUAUUUAUACGCAAACAACAACAAAAUGGUCAAGGCGAACAAUUGGGGAACAAAUAAACUAAUAAGCAACUCAAAAUACCACAAAAAAAAACUAAAAUAGGUAGAGGAUAAACCAAAGAAACUUUGUGCACUCAAUUAUAGUUGUGAUUCGGUAAUUAUGUAUAGGUAUGCGUGUGCGUGUUCGGUGUGUUUACGUGGAAGGGAGUGAGACAGAUGGUGCAAACGAAUGCUCUUUACCGUUAGAAAUGCAGGCCACGCAAACUAUCGAUUGGCAGCACUGGCAUUGCCAGCGCGAAAAACUUUCAAACUCUCAAACAUUUAAAACAUCUUGUAGAACAAGAACAACAAAUAUAACAUCAUCUCAUGGAUUUGCCGGGAAAGAGGGACCAAAAACGGAACGGAGCGAAGCAAACGGAAUGGAACGUGAGGAACGUAGAACGCAGGCAAGCAUGAUCGAACAAGUGGAAUUUCCAACACUCUGCGCGCGCGCUCUGUGUGCCGAAAAACUCAGCUCUAGAUUGGAAGUUGAAUGUGAUAAUUUUUUGUUGGAUUAACGCACUGGGUUAAAUAUUUCGUUUUCUUUUUUUGUAUUUGUAUUGCAUUUUCUUUUUUGUUAAUUCUAUUUGCUAGUUGCUAAGUGCUAAUUACCUGGCAGAUUAUUCACAUAGCCGCCAUCCAGCAAGAGGUGCCCAUCUUUAGGAUCGCAUAACGGCGGCAUGUAGCCACUGAGCGACAUGGAGGAGCGUACGUAACGCCACAGAGAUCCUGGUAUUUAAAAUCAACGGCAGACACAUGCCAGCAAUGAUAAGUCGGUGGGUGUUUUGUGUGUGUUUGUGUUUUGGGGGAGGAGAAGAGAAAAAUAAGAAAGAUUGAGAGAAAGUUGCUUUGAGCUAUCUUUUUUUUAAUGGAGGAGAGAAAGGGGUAUAUGGAAUGGAGAAUUUUUGGGAUGGGUAGCACCAAUGGAUUGGGUUUUAAUGGGCGCAGCGAUGCGGGGUGGCUUAAAAGAGGAGCAACGAGUUUAGCCUCUAGCAAAGAGCACAAUAGCCAAUUUCGAUUUAUGGCACAAGCUCUCCAAACAACAACAACAACAACAGCGACAACAAUGAGAUUUUAAUUUGGUUUGUUAUGUUUCAAGUUCAAACAAAACGGCACAUUCGAUUGGCAGCAUAACGCCGAUAACUAGUCGAUUCCACAGCAGAAAAUAACAUUAAGAAAAGUGAAAAUGCCUCUACAAAAUUGCGGGCCAUGGAAUGAGGCUGUGCCUAUGUGUGUGUGUGUGUGUGUGUGUGCGCAAGUGUGUGCGUGCCUGUGUGGGCGUCUCAUUGUCUGCGAUUUAAUUUUUGGGCACACUCAGUUCUAAGGCUACCAAAGGAUCAAAAGGAUCAGGGACAACAAAACGGUACAAUAACACAUUGAAGGGGGGAUAAUAAACUACAAAAAGCAUAAAAAAGGAAAAUACCCAAAGAAAAACUUAUAGCAUAAAGCAAACCAAAACGGGGAUAUACAAUCAAGAGUACAAUGUAUUAACAGCAGUUUCAAACUUUUCAAAUU